AUGAACAGAAUGGCGAAACACAGCAACGACAGGCCGGAAGCUCGCUCGCAAUCUUCAAUGCACCAUCGGUCUCUCUCAGUGAACAAUCCCGCAUCGAUCGGUCCCCGUCGUCGAUCUCAUCAAUCAAUCAAUGGAUCAAUCGAUCAAUCAGUGUAUGCACUUGCCUCCCUGGAACCUCCAGCCGAUCUUGCCGGCCCGGCGCUCCCACUCCGGGCGCGACACGUAGCGCCUCCAGUCCUCGACGACGCGCCGGAGGUCGUGCAGCUUGUUCUCGAGCCCGAUGCAGCAGGUCAUGUGCACGGUGGCGAUCCGGUUGAGGUCGCGCCCGAGCUGGCAGAAGCCGCUGACGAACGCGCUGUCGACGAACCUGAUCCGGACGCCGAUGGGCGGCGCCGCCAGCUCCCGCUUGAUCUCGUUGAAGACGAACUGGUCGUGGUUGUCCGGGAAGCGCGCCCUGGCGGCGUGCCAGUAGGCCAUGGCGCGCGCGUUGCGGGGCGUGGCCUUGAAGUAGAUGAAGCCCGUGUUGGGGUAGUUUCCCAGGUCGUCCGGGUCGCCGAAGUAGAAGUCACUCGACGUCGUGAUGUCCGCCGCCGCCGUGAUGUGCACCCGCGGGUCACGGAACCACGCCACGUCCACGUCCGUGAAGAGGAGGUUGUAGCCGAGGAGGAGGACGCGGUGCUGGAGCCGGAGCUUGCUCCAGACGAGGUCGAGGUAGUCCUUGGUCAUGUAGCUCUUGGCGCCGGAGAGGUCGAGGCCGUCCACGUCGGGGAGCAGCAGCGCAGUCGCCGAGGCCGCCCCUGA
rnacentral:rRNA from 1 species